rnacentral:misc_RNA from 1 species
AAGUCGUAACGAGGUUUCCGUAGGUGAACCUGCGGAAGGAUCAUUAACACGUAUCCAAACGUUUAAAAAAAAAGAAAACCCCCCUGUGAACGUUUGCUUGCUCUUGCAGCCCGCCUGGCUAGAAAAUCCCUGGUAAAUCAUCGCUGAACUAGUUUAAUUCAGGGACCGUCUGAUUGGGUGAGAAUAACCAAGCCUGCUCCGUAAAGUCCCCUGCGUACGUGAAAGUGGUAUUGGGGUGUAUGUACUGGAGAAACCCUUCUGGAUGAUGGACGGCCACCACGGCCGGUCGCUGCUGCUUGUGGGCGUUCGUGCCCCCCAGGAUUACCCCGCUACCAGUCGAAACGACCAACCUGCGCAACCAUUACGUGUUGAGCCCGUGGGCGUCGUAAACCGAAAUACUUGAACAACUGUUAACAAUGGAUAUCUUGGUUCUC